CAACCCUCAAGACCCCUUCGGGGGACUUGGUGUUGGGGACCGGCACAGGGGCCUGCCUGCUUGUCUUGCAGCGCCCUCGCCGCCCCCGAAAUGAAUUGGCGGCCUCGUCGCGGCCUCCCCUGCGUAGUAGCACAACCUCGCAACGGGAACGUGACGGCGGCCACUGCCGUAAAACAACCCAAUUUUAUUAG
rnacentral:misc_RNA from 1 species